rnacentral:rRNA from 1 species
CGGAUGAACGCUGGCGGCGUGCCUAACACAUGCAAGUCGAACGGGUGUGGUAUCAGGGAAAAGGGGUUUACUUCUUUGACCAGAUAACACACUAGUGGCGGACGGGUGAGUAACGCGUGGAUAACCUGCCUUAUACAGGGGGAUAACAGGGAGAAAUUCUUGCUAAUACCCCAUAGGUAUGUCUGACGCAUGUUGGACAUAUUAAAGCUUUGGCGGUAUAAGAUGGGUCCGCGUCUGAUUAGCUAGUUGGUGGGGUAAAGGCCCACCAAGGCGACGAUCAGUAGCCGGCUUGAGAGAGUGGACGGCCACAUUGGGACUGAGACACGGCCCAAACUCCUACGGGAGGCAGCAGUGGGGAAUAUUGCACAAUGGGGGAAACCCUGAUGCAGCGACGCCGCGUGAAGGAAGAAGGUCUUCGGGUCGUAAACUUCUAUCAGCAGGGAAGAAAGGGCCUAUGGCCUAUGACGGUACCUGACUAAGAAGCCCCGGCUAACUACGUG